rnacentral:tRNA from 1 species
GGUGAGGUGUCCGAGUGGCUUAAGGAGUACGCCUGGAAAGUGUGUAUACACGAAAGUGUAUCGAGGGUUCGAAUCCCUCCCUCACCGCCA